rnacentral:piRNA from 1 species
GAAGAGUUGAGACUGGAGAAGAAAA